GAGCGCGGCGUACAGCUCCAUUAACACGUGGCCAACCUGCCCUUGGGACGGGAACACCCCCGGGAAACUGGGGUUAAUUCCCGAUAGGUGAAGAAGUCUGGAAUGAAUCUUCGCUCAAAAGACGUUUAUGUCAUGCUCAUAUUCGUCGCCCAGGGAUGGGGCCGCGACCGAUCAGGUAGUUGGUGAGGCAAUGGCUCACCAAGCCUUUUACCGGUGCGGGCCGUGAGAGCGGGAGCCCGGAGAUGGGCACUGAGACAAGGGCCCAGGCCCCACGGGGCGCAGCAGUCGCGAAAACUUUGCGAUACACGAAAGUGUGACAGGGCUAUCCCGAGUGCCAUCCGCUGAGGAAGGCUUUUACCCAGUAUAAAUAGCUGGGAGAAUAAGGAGAGGGCAAGUCUGGUGUCAGCCGCCGCGGUAAUACCAGCUCUCCGAGUAGUGUGGACGUUUAUUGGGCCUAAAGCAUCCGUAGCUUGCUAGAUAAGUCCUCUGUUAAAUCCACCGAUUCAAUCGUUGGAUUGCGGGGGAUACUGUUUGGCUAGGGGACGGGAGAGGUCGACGGUAUUUCCGGGGUAGGGGUGAAAUCCUAUAAUCCCGGGAAGACCACCAGUGGCGAAGGCUGUCGACUAGAACGCGCCCGACGGUGAGGGAUGAAAGCUGGGGGAGCGAACCGGAUUAGAUACCCGGGUAGUCCCAGCUGUAAACGAUGCAGGCUAGGUGUUUGGGCGGCCACGAGCCGCCCUAGUGCCGCAGGGAAGCUGUUAAGCCUGCCGCCUGGGGAGUACGGCCGCAAGGCUGAAACUUAAAGGAAUUGGCGGGGGAGCACCACAAGGGGUGAAGCUUGCGGUUUAAUUGGAUUCAACGCC
rnacentral:rRNA from 1 species